rnacentral:rRNA from 2 species
UUAGAAGCUUGCUUCUAUGACGUUAGCGGCGGACGGGUGAGUAACACGUGGGCAACCUGCCUGUAAGACUGGGAUAACUUCGGGAAACCGAAGCUAAUACCGGAUAGGAUCUUCUCCUUCAUGGGAGAUGAUUGAAAGAUGGUUUCGGCUAUCACUUACAGAUGGGCCCGCGGUGCAUUAGCUAGUUGGUGAGGUAACGGCUCACCAAGGCAACGAUGCAUAGCCGACCUGAGAGGGUGAUCGGCCACACUGGGACUGAAACACGGCCCAGACUCCUACGGGAGGCAGCAGUAGGGAAUCUUCCGCAAUGGACGAAAGUCUGACGGAGCAACGCCGCGUGAGUGAUGAAGGCUUUCGGGUCGUAAAACUCUGUUGUUAGGGAAGAACAAGUACGAGAGUAACUGCUUGUACCUUGACGGUACCUAACCAGAAAGCCACGGCUAACUACGUGCCAGCAGCCGCGGUAAUACGUAGGUGGCAAGCGUUAUCCGGAAUUAUUGGGCGUAAAGCGCGCGCAGGCGGUUUCUUAAGUCUGAUGUGAAAGCCCACGGCUCAACCGUGGAGGGUCAUUGGAAACUGGGGAACUUGAGUGCAGAAGAGAAAAGCGGAAUUCCACGUGUAGCGGUGAAAUGCGUAGAGAUGUGGAGGAACACCAGUGGCGAAGGCGGCUUUUUGGUCUGUAACUGACGCUGAGGCGCGAAAGCGUGGGGAGCAAACAGGAUUAGAUACCCUGGUAGUCCACGCCGUAAACGAUGAGUGCUAAGUGUUAGAGGGUUUCCGCCCUUUAGUGCUGCAGCUAACGCAUUAAGCACUCCGCCUGGGGAGUACGGUCGCAAGACUGAAACUCAAAGGAAUUGACGG